UGAAUACGAGACGCUAAGGCGUCGAAGUAGUGUAUGUCAUACUUCCAAGAAAAGCUUGCACUGUCAUAGAUAAAAAACGCCUGUACCAUAACCGACACAGGUGGGUAGGUAGAGUAUACUAAGGGGCGCGAGAUAACUCUCUCUAAGGAACUCGGCAAAAUAACUCCGUAACUUCGGGAGAAGGAGUGCCUUAUUCGUAAGGUUGCAAUAACAGGAUCCAAGCAACUGUUUAUCAAAAACACAGGUCUCCGCUAAGUCGUAAGACGAUGUAUGGGGGCUGACGCCUGCCCAGUGCCAGAAGGUUAAAGAAGUUGGUUAGCAAUUGCGAAGCUGAUAACUGAAGCCCUGGUGAACGGCGGCCGUAACGAUAACGGUCCUAAGGUAGCGAAAUUCCUUGUCGGGUAAGUUCCGACCCGCACGAAAGGCGUAAUGAUUUGGAUACUGUCUCGGAGAGGGGCUCGGUGAAAUAGACUUGUCUGUGAAGAUGCGGACUACCUGCACCAGGACAGAAAGACCCUAUGAAGCUUUACUGUAACUUGAAAUUGAAAUUGGACUUUAUUCGCGCAGUAUAGGUGGGAGGCGUUGAUUAUAAUCUUGUGGGAUUAUUGGAGCCAUCAGUGAGAUACCACUCUUGUAAUGUUAGAUUUCUAACUUUGAAUCAUUAUCUGGUCAAAGAACAGUUUCAGGCGGGCAGUUUGACUGGGGCGGUCGCCUCCUAAACGGUAACGGAGGCGUACAAAGGUUUCCUCUGAACGGUUAGAAAUCGUAUCUAGAGUGUAAAGGCAUAAGGAAGCUUGACUGUGAGACCUACAAGUCGAGCAGGGACGAAAGUCGGUCUUAGUGAUCUGACGGUACUGAGUGGAAAGGCCGUCACUCAACGGAUAAAAGUUACUCUAGGAUAACAGGCUGAUCUCCCCCAAGAGUUCACAUCGACGGGGAGGUUUGGCACCUUGAUGUCGGCUCAUCGCAUCCUGGGGCGGUAGUACGUCCCAAGGGUUGGGCUUUUCGCCCAUGAAAGCGGUACGCGAGCUGGGUUCAGAACGUCGUGAGACAGUUCGGUCCAUAUCCGGUGUAGGCGUUAGAAUAUUGAGAGGAGCCUUCUUUAGUACGAGAGGACCGAGAAGGACAUACCUCUGGUGUACCAGUUAUCGUGCCAACGGUAAACGCUGGGUAGCUAUGUAUGGAGUGGAUAACCGCUGAAAGCAUCUAAGUGGGAAGCCCACCUCAAGAUAAGUAUUCUCAU
rnacentral:rRNA from 1 species